CAGAGUUGCAAAACUCCCUAAACCAUUGUGAACCUUACCUCUACCGUUGCUUCGGCGGGCGGGCCUAGCGCCCCCGGGCCCCGCGGCGCCGCCGGAGGUCACCCAAACUCUUGAUACUGUAUGGCCUCUCUGAGUAUUCUGUACUGAAUAAGUCA
rnacentral:misc_RNA from 1 species